CCUACGUGUGGCAGCAGUGAGGAAUAUUGGUCAAUGGGAGGAAUCCUGAACCAGCCAUGCCGCGUGCAGGACGACGGCUCUACGAGUUGUAAACUGCUUUUGUACCGGGGUAAAAUGCUCUACGAGUAGGGUUUUGAAAGUACGGUACGAAUAAGGAUCGGCUAACUCCGUGCCAGCAGCCGCGGUAAUACGGAGGAUCCGAGCGUUAUCCGGAUUCAUUGGGUUUAAAGGGUGCGUAGGUUGUUUUAUAAGUUAGCGGUGAAAUGCCCCCGCUCAACGGGGUGAAGUGCCAUUGAUACUGCCUUGCUGGAAUGCGGAUGCCGUGGGAGGAAUGUGUGGUGUAGCGGUGAAAUGCAUAGAUAUCACACAGAACACCGAUUGCGAAGGCAUCUCACGAAUCCGCGAUUGACGCUGAUGCACGAAAGCGUGGGUAUCAAACAGGAUUAGAUACCCCUGUAGUC
rnacentral:rRNA from 1 species